GAUGAACGCUGGCGGCGUGCCUAAUACAUGCAAGUCGAGCGAACAGAUGAGGAGCUUCCUCCUCUGACGUUAGCGGCGGACGGGUGAGUAACACGUGGAUAACCUACCUAUAAGACUGGGAUAACUUCGGGAAACCGGAGCUAAUACCGGAUAAUAUAUUGAACCGCAUGGUUCAAUAGUGAAAGACGGUUUUGCUGUCACUUAUAGAUGGAUCCGCGCCGCAUUAGCUAGUUGGUAAGGUAGCGGCUUACCAAGGCAACGAUGCGUAGCCGACCUGAGAGGGUGAUCGGCCACACUGGAACUGAGACACGGUCCAGACUCCUACGGGAGGCAGCAGUAGGGAAUCUUCCGCAAUGGGCGAAAGCCUGACGGAGCAACGCCGCGUGAGUGAUGAAGGUCUUCGGAUCGUAAAACUCUGUUAUUAGGGAAGAACAAAUGUGUAAGUAACUAUGCACGUCUUGACGGUACCUAAUCAGAAAGCCACGGCUAACUACGUG
rnacentral:rRNA from 1 species